CAGACAGAGGAAGUUGACAGGGACGAGCUCCACCCCGGGAAGAGGGCAGGAGCUGUGACCCACGGGCAGAAGUCACCAUGGCUGUGGGGUGAGGACAAAGAAGGGCGUGUGAGGCUGCAAAGGUUACCCUAGAGGCUUUGGGUUUUCUUCUAAAGGGAACCACAGAAGAGCUGGCUCGAAAAAGGAAGUUAUGCUUGGAGAAAAAUGUGGACAGGAGUGAGAUACGGAAAGUCAAAGCUCACGGACAGGCGUGGUAGCCUGUUGGAGGAGGGCAGAAGCUUGCAGUGACAGGACCAGGGGGUCUGCCAGUGUGUCACUUACAGGUGCCAAGGUGCUAACCAGGCGCUAGACAUUACAGAAUUUGAGGCAAUAGCUGGAGAAAAGGUGCUGGGAAGGGAUCAGGUCAGGCUUACUUUUAACCCCCCGACGGCAGCCUGCAGCCGUCCCCCUGCAGGGCAGGCUCGAGACGGAUCUGCAGCGAAGAAGGGAUCUUGGCAUCUCCUAGAGGAUAAUCCCAGGGAAGUGAAGGGACUUUCCCAGAAUCAUGUGGCUGGACAGUGCAGCCCGGGAGCAGAGUCUGUGAGCUGAUACCCUGCGUUUUCACAGGUGCCGCACAGGAGGCGUGUUUCCUCCUCCAUCUUUGUGGCGGUCGUCUGCUGUGACAUCGUUCCCCGUGCUCUGACCUGUUAUCGCUCUCGGCUGAACCCCUCAGGAGCUAUUUUCAACUGAGCUAAAAUCACACGACGUAAAAGUCAUCGGUGAAGUUUUAUUCAGGACCUUACUGAGGAUAGAGCCUGGGGACUCAGCCUCUCAGAUAGCUCUGAGGAACUGUUCCCAAGAGGUAAGGGAGGAGCCAGGAUAUAUAUGAACUUUUUUUGCUGGGAAAAACAUGUAGUCAAGCAUAAAAAGAUAAUUGCUAGUCACAAAGAACAGACAUCUCAAGUUGGUGAUUUUAGUGCUUUUCUAUGUAUGGAAACACACAAGAAUCUGGGGUCAUUGAAAUUUUUCCUUCAAUAUGCAUUUUAACUAUUUCGGGACCAGUAAUUCCAGAGCACAGAAUGCUGCCGUUUCUCUCCAUCCUGAAUUCCCCUCAGGGAGCACUGUUGGUGGGGACUGCGGUGGCUGACGGCUUGGUCCUUGCAGAACCAGAAUGGCAGGCAACGUUUUUUCUUUGCACUGCAUAAGAAGGCGGAGAAGGAGAAUGGGACAAGCUGUGAGCAGGGAUAUGAGCCACUCCACCGGGCUCUGCUGCUCCCCCAGCAGGCACCUGAGACUCCUGAUUCCUCAGGUUUGGCUUCAUAAUCCACUGAAGAUGAAAAGCCACAAUGGUAAUAAUUGACCUGACUCCCUUCACAGAGUAAAUAAAAUGAACUAAAGACCCCAGAGGGCCUUCCAAGCGCUCAAGGGCUCUGUAAGCAUGGUCCUCCCCACAUGAAAGACUGUAUAUGUAAUACUGUUUUAACUCCCAAAUAAUAUCCAACAAAUGAGUGUUAUUGGAUAUUGCAAGUGGAUACGCAGCAAAAGGAAUAGAUAAAUACAUUCAUGUGUGUUAUUUUCAUGGAAUACUAUGCAGCAGUCAAAAACAAUGAAAGAACUUUGGAGAAGUAGAUUAGCACUACCUAGUAAGGUUUCAGACAUAGUAUAUCCUGCACUUCAGCAUCCCCCCACCCCAGAUAUAAUCUCUGGAGAAAUCCUCUCACAUAUGCACAAAGGAAGGCAAAAUCAAGAAUGUUUUAUAAUUGCAUUGACUGAAAUAGGAAAAAAGUAGGGGAGAGGGAACCACCUAAAUGCACACUAAUAGAAGAACAAUGAUUUAUAUCACAUUCUUGCAGUAGAAUACACUACAUUAAGGGGAAUGAAUGAAUCUGAACCACCUACUUCAGUUUUUUUUCUUCUUUUUUCUUUUUACUGAAGUAUAGUUGAUUUACAAUGUUGUGUUAGUUUCAGGGGUACAGCAAAGUGGCUCAGUUAUACAUUCAC